rnacentral:lncRNA from 1 species
AAGGCGAAAGACAGCUAGAUUGUCCUGGCUGAUUUCAAUUUUGACCCGAACACCUUCUAGCCCGAAUUAUUUCCGAGUCGACCUCAAGCUAGUCCCAACUCGUUCGGAGAGUUAUUGUAAGAUACCGAACUUCUGAAACUAUGAAGUUACGGUGGAAUGUAGUAUACCGAAAUUUAAUAUAAAAUUAAGUAUAAAUAAAAAUAGUGUGAGAUACUAUUUUUAUUGGACUUAAUGGUGUAAGGUAUAAGUUGGAAAUGACCUGUGCUGAAAUCAGAGCGAAAACAAAAAAUUUAGAAUUUUCUGUGAAAAGCAGGACUGAUAAAUUAGCAGAAAAUGCACAGUGUCGAAAAAUUAUGAAAACUGGAGAGUAUGUCAGAAUUAUUUUUAUGAGACUAGAUUUAAAGUUUCAUGUCAUUCUGACACCCGGAAGGUGAAAAAUAAAAUCCGACAGUUAUCUGAUAAAGAUUACAGUUCGGUACAACUUUCGAUGACCAAACGGGGUCGAAACUGAAAGAUUAAAAUUUCUUUCGUUAAGUUAAGCAAAACCGAACAUGACUGUCAAAUUUGAGCUCAAACGGAUAUUCAGAGGGCUCUGGCGAAAGAUAUCAGAUUUCGUACUGCCUGAAGUGAAUAGUGUAUGCUACUAUUGGGGUGUUGACUAUAAGUAAAAGCUUCUAGUCUUCUUCUUCUUCACAGCCACCACCACCCCCACAACACCACACGUUCAUGAUGGUAGUGAGAAAAAUCCUCACUUUCUCUCUCUAAAUAACUCUCUUAUCUCUCUAGAUCUUUCGCCCAAAUUCACUACGUUGGCGGAGAACGAGCUUACGAACGCGUUGGGAGUGACGGAUCGAGCUUUCGUGCGCCCGUUGGAGCGGCGUGCUUCCGUUCUCGGCGUUCACAUUUUGGUAAACUUUUGGGAUUUGGCUUAAUCCUUAACCUUAAGCGUUCUAGUAGCCUCUAAUGAGCAUUCUUAGCAUAUUGCUCUAUUUAAUUUGGAUUAUUUGGAGGUAAUUGCAUGUUAGGCCUCAAAAAUGAAAUUUUGUAAUAUGUGAGGGUUCGAUCUAAAUUGAUCAUGUAUAAACUUAAUUGAUAGGUAUUCUGACGCGUUGGCGAAGUCGGUUCGGCGAUACGACGAGGCUACGCGAAGAUAUCGGAGAAAAGGCCUGUUUUGGUACAAAUUGCCGCAGCUCGCGGCGAAAGUUUCCAAAAAUCACGAAAUCGGAACCCUAGUCUCUGGUAGCAUUAAAAGGUGGGGGGUGUGCAUCCCGAAGCAACUGGGCUUCCUUCUAUAUCCGAGUUAGAUUUUUGGUCAUAUUGCACAUAUUGUUCUUAUGCAUUAUAGGAUGUAUGUAUAGUUGCAUUUCUAUUUCCUUGCAUGCAUGUCUAGUUGUGUAGCAUUAUGGACUUGACACUUAAAUCUAGAAUGCAUGAGGAUUAGGAUUUGUGACAUGAGAUCCUAUAGUGAUAAGAAAACGGUGAACUCGGACUUGAUGAUGAAAACUAGUGACAUGCGAACUAGUGUAUAGAAAACACUAUGACUUGGACGAGUGGCAUGUAAACAAUGUUAACAACAUGAUGAGUGGCAUUGAAACUUAGUGUAAUAGAAAUACUUGUGGCAUUGAGCAUAGGGAAUAGGUGAGUUUUCCUAAUCGUGGCAUAUUGCAUGAGAAUUAGUGUAAUUGAGACACUAUGGCAUCAAACAUAGGGAUAGUUCAAUUCCAUAGUGUGAGUUGAUUAGUGUGGUUGAGACACUUGACAUGGACCUAGGGAUAGGUGGAUUUUCGAGUGUUUGUUAACCUAGUUGACGGGGUAUUCUCAGUUGGCGAGGAUUGGAUCAUACUCACAAGUCUGUUUUGAGCUUGUGGUGGUCGCUCCACACGAGCAGUGCACUCCGGAGUUGUCACACGAGCUGGGUAGCUCACGAGCGGGGUAACUCACCGGGUGGGAUACGAGUGGGGUAGCUCCUCACCUAUUGAACUGGAAAGUGAGUUGGGGCGAAUGGCGGGGUAGCCCUUCCCAUAUGAGGAUUGAGCGGGAUAGCUCAUUACUUAUAAGAAUUAAGCGGGGUAGCUCAUUACCUAUGAGAUUAGAGCGGGGUAGCUCUUCACCUAUGGCUUUGAGAUGUGAGACAGGCGAGAUAAGAGCGGGGUAGCUCCUCACUCGUGAGAUUUACGAUAUUAGUAGGGGCGAAGAGCGGGUUAGCUCUUCACCUCUUCACCUACUAAACUUGUAGUGUGAGUACCUAUGAGAUUUGAGAUCUUAGGCGGGGUAGCCUAGUGGAUGGGGUAAUGACAUGAAUAGCAUAAGUGGAUUUCUAUUCAUCCCAUGGUUAAACAUAGUAUAUGAUAGUGAAUUGCAUAACUAUGUUGUAUUCGUAUUCAUUACAUUGUUGAAGCAUACUAGCAUGAUAGUAGGCUUGUUGCUAGAUGAUAUUCCAUGCAUUGCUUGCAUUUGAUGGCAUAGUAUAGUAUAGACGCAAUUUCAUUUCUAUACAUAUUUAUCUAUCUAUCUGUGUCUGCUUAGACCUAGUGGGAAGAUCGGCGGAGUCGGCGGCCAAACCCACUGAGAACUAUAUUUAUAUAGUUCUCACCCCACUUUGUUGCAGGGCCGUGUGCGAGCGUUUCGGGGGAGGAUCGCGGUAAUGGCGUAGCACCCUAGCUAGCUAGUAGAGUUUCCUAUUUGUACUAGAGCACCCUCGUGUGCAUAUUUAUAGACAUGAUGUAUUUUGGAUAGCUAGUAUUAUGGUUGUGAGAGGAUUAUGUAUUCAUUUUUGGGAGAUGGAAAUAUAAAUCAAAUCAAUGUUGAAUGUGAUGUAAUAGUUAGAUGUAUCUCUCUUUAUUUCACUUGUAUGUUACUUGUGAUCGUUGCUCUUGUUGGUAUAGCACUUGUGGUGCUUGUUGAAUCAUGUAUGUUAAUUGAGUUUAUUUUGGGCAACUUUUGUACCUGAUCUUGUUGUUGAGCCUUGGGCGGACAGGGGAGGUGCUGUCCAUCCGGCGUCUGUUCGACGCGCCCGAACCGAACCAAAUGGGUAGCAGUCUCGGGGCGUGACAGUUAUUCUAUCUCUACUUUGGCCUGCAAUUACCUGUGUAAUGAAAUAAUCAGCAAUUGGAAUAGUUUGAAGUUUCUAUUGCAGCAAAAAGUUAAAAAAUACAAUUUUGAAACCAAAAAAAGAAAGCUCUACUUUAGAGCUUAAUGAUUCUACUUCGAAAGUAAUUAUUAGAGAAAAGUUUAGUGUGGUAUGUGCAUGAAUACAUAUUUCAUAUUCAUAUAUGCAUGCAGUAUGCGUGCAUGUCUAUAAUAUCUCUCACACUCUUACCUUUUGUUAUACGCUUCUCAUAGCUCAAAAACAAUAUACAAACACAUUUAAAUUCUGCUACCGAAGGAUAGUGUAGAAAGAAACUGAUCCAUUCGUUGAAGUAUCAACUGGAAUUCAUUAGAAGUACACUUGAGCAUCGUACGAUAGACGAAUUUCUAAUGCGUGAUGGAUACAACUAUCAAUGAAAAACUACAAUAAAUAUUAGAUCCAUUCUUUGGUACUUUGACCAGAUUACUCACUCUUCAAACACUAUACCGAGUAUUUUGAUAUUCUGGAACCCUAGAUUUUCCUGGAAGAGUCUCUGUUGAGUUAGAUUGCAUGGUGAGACAAUGCUCUCUAAUCUCAGUAUGAUACCUGAAAACAGAACAAACCAAAUUAUAUGGAUAUCCUUGUAUCUUCUUUCAAGGUAAAUUAGGAUUGUUUAUCUAAUUAAUCAUCUCAAAAACCAUCCUAAUCCACAACAAGCAACAUAACUCGCAAGCAAGCGUGAUCCAUUACAUAAGAUUGUCUAACUAAUUCUAGCCUCUACUACAGGUCGUGAAUGUCUCAUCAUAAUGUAUUAAUUAAUUAAUUAAUUAAGCAUCAGAAAGAGAGUCCUAUGGUGCCUUCCUAACUCAAAUAAGCAGUUUCAACCAAAGCUUUAUUUUCACCAUUUGCAGUUGCUUAUUGAAUAAAAUGUUAUAAUGCUAGUUUCGAAGGACCAAAAACAGAACUGUAGUACAUACACUGGGCACUUGCUGCAGCCUGUUGAUGCCAAUUGAUAAUUUCAAGAUUACAAAGCAGCAAUUCCUAAUUGUGAACUCUUAAAUGGUAAUGGAAUCCCUGAUGUACCAUUCAAAUAUAAGAACAAUAUUUAUUUAAUACAGUUACCUUGCUAAAAUACCUCAGAAAUUUCAUUAUGUAUUGCAUGUUCGGCAAUAAAUUGAAAUACAUUACAAAUUGUGAGAUGAAAAACAAUAUAAGAAAAUAUAGCAACUAAGCAAGAAAUAUCAGGUUUCUUUAAUAGUUCAAUAUGUGCCGUUAGUUUCAUGCUUCUUUUCUGCAAUAUCGUCAUAUGUCAAUACAGUACAGUGCAAAGGAUCAUCAUUGGACAGUGACCUAUAUCGCGGACCCAUCAUUCUUUGAAGUAAAGAUCGUAAACGUUUGUUGAUAGAGUGCAUUUGUAUUUGCCAUAUAUAAAUCACAUUUGUUGUGUAGAAAUAUUUUGUUUUCUUAAUAGAAGUUCAUAUUGGGUAGGACAAGGAUGCAUCACAUAAAUUGGAUAGUUUCCUAGAAAGGAUCUAAAAAUGGAUCAAAUUGAAACUUUUCAUCUUCUGUUCAACAAAAACCAUAGUGCACAUAUGAAUUGCAACUCUGACUAAGUUAAGGGUUAUCUUGAGAGAAAGAAGACAAAAAAUUGACCCGAAGUAGUUUAAUUGGAAAGAUACAAUUCCCUUUUUGUUUGUUGAGAGCUUUGUUCCGGAUUUGAGCUUAAUGAUUGGAAGAACAAUUUUAGUCCAUUAUAAACAGUUAGGACUUAGAAUUUGUGGUUGCAGUUUCAAAUGUGGUUUUCUUUUAUGAAUGCUGACAUGAUAGUGACGAACAUGAUUGGUUGGUUUUUUAAUAGUGUGAACUUAAAAGGAAUGCUUUGAUACUGGAGUUGAUACUGGAGUUGAUCAUAUUAUAUAUACAAUACUUUGUUGGACAAAAUGGAUGAUCAAGGCAUCUUUAAUGCUAAAGUCAACAAAAGGCGCAUUUCAUACUCCUUUCCACCACUAAGGUCGAAUUUGACGCAGGGCAUUUUUACUUCAGUUGAUUUUCUAUUCAUUUCAUUAUUUAACACGAUGCAACUUACGAACCUGUGAUUGACAAGAACAAGUAAUAAAGAUUAAGUGAACUACAGAUCUUCUCAUCAUGAACUAAUAUAUAUGAAUGUUUUGAGUGACUAUUUCGGCGUGCAAAUAGAUAUUAGAAUUUAACAUUUAACAUAAACUAAUAUAAUAAAAGAAAUGCAUAUUUAUGUCUACAAGAGCCAUUCAUGCCUACCACUGUUAAAAUUGCAGAUUACGCUUUCCUAUUAGCUACAGGGAAAUCAUAGGUAUCCUCCAAAUGGAAGUUUCAUAGAUCUACUCACAAUUCGUUCGCAGGAAUGUCGAACACCGUAACAAGUCGUUCACAUCUAAAGAAUUUCCGUUUUGAGAUAACUUAUUCCUCGAGAAUGGUAAUUAAACAUUUAAAUCUCAAUUUCCAACCUUCUUUGAUAAAUGUAUAAAUAAUACUGACCGUAUGAAUAGCUAAAUAUUUUGUUAGGAUCCAAGUCACGAAGAGUUGCAACACUUAGCCCAAUUCCCACUCACGUCCAAUUCCUACUCUUCGUGACUUGGAUCUGAGUGAGGAGUAGAUUAUUAUUAUUAUUAUUAUUAUUAUUAUUUUCUACAGUUUUUCCUUUUUGUUUCUAUUUGUCUUUUUUGUUUUGAUUGUUUUGAAUGUUCUCCGAGGCCACGUUGCCUCAACCUAUAUAGCUAAAUUCAUCUGCUAAAUGAAUGAAGCGGGUAGCGUGCUAUCUUUUUCUCAAAAAAAAAAAAUUAAAAAAAAAUUAUGUUAGGAUCCAAAUAUUUACAGUAGGAAGGUGAGAGUCAAAAAUAAAAAUAUUCGAGGGGAAGAGGAAUAAGCCACUCUACACAACACUUUAUAAUACAGGUCAAAAAAGUCGAAAGAAUUCGAUGCUUUCAUAAUGACAAUCAAAUCCCCAAGUAAAAGUCGUGCUUAUAAGCUAGAUUAAGCAUUGAGGGUCCAUGUAAAGUCCACUAGAAAUAGGAUUUGCUGAGCACAAACAGGCUAUAGGAGCUCCCAAAAAGAAGAAAAUAAUAAUAAAAAAAAAGACAGAGAUCCAUUAAAAUAAAGUGACAGUUCUGCUAAUUGUGGUGAUAACCCACCAUUUGUGAUUGUAGCAUCUCGUCUCGCGACAAAGAUAUCUUUCAUGACAUUUGACUAAAAAAAUCAAAAAGAAAAAAUUACUGGAUUCGACAUUAGGGCUAAGAUGGUGCAUUCCCACCGCAAGUGACGAAAACCUUGGUGGUUAAUAAGGUUGAAAUUUAAAUUUUUUUUCUUCAUAUUUUUUUUCAAUUAAACUUAAUUCUAAAAAUAAAUAAUGAAACAGAUAAAAUGCUACCGGUCUCUCGAAAAUAUAAAAGACAUUAGGGCUUUGUCUAAGGUGGUAAUAAAAAUUGAAUCAUGCUCUUUUGAAAUUCUUGUUCUUCUUAAAUUACUUAAUGACGGAUUUAAAAUAUAAUGCACUCAGAUUCGAAAAAAAGAAGAGAUAAUAAAAUGUGGAAAUUUAUAUGUGGGAAAAGGGAAUGCUUACACCUGGGCAGGGAAAAAAAUUGGUGGAGCAUAAAGCUCGAGAAGAGAUAAGGUGUUUUCAAAUUGUGGUGAAAAAGAUCCGGAAGGAAUUCGUACAGAUUAUUUAGAUAUCACAUUUUAGAGUCUGGAUAAAAUACUUAUAUUUUUAUUAAAAUCAUAAAUCCAAAUGUAAAUCAUUAUUAUUUAUAAAGUUCAACAAUCAAAUCUAAUUUUAACUGCACAUUUUGAAGUAACAACUAGCUUUUAAAUUCCCCCCCAUCAAAUUUUUUAGGCGAAAUUUAUAUUUUUGGUCCUAAAAUUUAUAUUUUAAAUUCCCCCCAUCAACUACUACUUGUACAUUAAUAAUACAUCAAUAUAUAAAAUUUUAGUUUGGAAGACCAAAAAUAUCAUCAUUUAGUCAAUUUUUAAUUUAAAAAAAAAAGAAAAAGAAAAAAAAGGCCAAACCUUCCAAUACGGGUCGGAAUAAAGCUAGCGUUCACACGACUGUAGACCACAAAUAUAGAUUGCACGACAACGACACGUGUGAACAGUUAAUUCGCCCGCUCUGCCCUUUCCCAUCAAUUCUAUAGGUUUAAGCAAAUUAUCUACACCCAGUGUAUCCGUACGCAGCAUACACCAAAUCUAAUUGCUGAUGAUUAAUGCCUUAAAUUGAAAUCCAAUUCACUAAAUUUGAUCUACAUUGCUUAAAACAACCUAUUUAUAGAAAAUUUAAUUUUUUUUAAAUUCUACUGCUAAGAUUUGCCAGAAAUAAAUAUCUAAAAAUUAUAAUUUUUUAAUACAAACAAAUUUGUUAAAUGUCAUAGAACACCUGGUAUUUCAAGGUGAGUGUGAAUGUCUAAAAUUUAUGUGGAUAAGGGUGCGUUUGGUUCGCACUAUAAAAGAUUACUAGAAGUAGAAAGAUAUCCGAGAAUCUUAUUUCUAUUCAUCCUAUUACUAAGAAUGUAGUAUUUCGGUAUUUGGUUCGUACGGUCAUAUUAUUUAGUCAUGUUAUUUAAGAUUACGAAAAAUAUACAAUUAAUUAAUUUAUUUUUUUAAUUAAUUUUAAAUAAUACUAUAAAAAUUUCAACAUCUUUUUAGAAAAGAGAGAGAGAAUAUAUGUUAAAAAGAGAGAGUAUAAUUAAAGAAAUAGAAAGAGAAAUAGAGUCGAGCUUAGAGAAUAGCUUAGUUUAGAGAGAAAAAAAGAUAAGUUUAGAGAGAAAUGAGGUUAAAGUGUAAAGAAAAAUAAUACCAAUUAGCCGACGGAUGAGAAGAAAGGAAGAGAUUAGACAAAUCUUCAAUCCAUUAAUAUAAGAAUACCCACCAUCCCUUAAAGGAAUGAGAUUAAUACUUUGAAAUGCAUCUCAUUCCCAAGUAAAUCCAAUAUUACCAACUAGAUUAUUUAAUGUGUUUAACCAAACACCGUAAUAUUUUUUUAUUCCUAUUGGAUUACUAGGAAUCUUAAAAAGAGAGCGCGAACCAAACGCACCUUAAACUUCAAAUAUCAUUCACGUGGUUUCGCACUUUCUUACUUUAGAACUCUAUAGUUUAAAAUGUAUCAAUUUAAUAUCACGUGAUUUCUUUUUUUUUUUCUUUUUGUCAGCUCCACCGUAAAUAUUUCGUUAAAUUAUAUACAAAAAACUUCAUAUCCCAUAUAGAUUUAUCGAAUAUUUACUUUAGUACAUUUUAGUUUUAACUUUGUUACUGAUUUAACGAAAAAAAAUUAUUAAAGAGAAUAAUAAAAAGAGAAAAAUAAAAUCACGGAGUAUAAAAUUAAUAUACUUUAAACUAUAGAAUAUUAAAAUAAAAAAGUGAGAAACCAUAUGGAUGAUAUUUGAAGUUUUUCCAAUUUAUAAUUUUUUAAUACGAACAAAUUUGUUAAAUGUCAUAGAACACCUGGUGUAGGCAGUAACUCUUCAAGGUGCGUGUGAGUCCAUCAUAGGUGGAUGUUUGGGCUUAGGAAAAGUGAUUUUAAAAGGCGAAAUGUGAAAUUUUCUUUAAUUGUGUGUUUGGUAAAUCUAUAUUUUAAAAGUUUAAUUAUAAUUCUAGCUUUUUGAAAUCUUAUUCUAAUCCCUUUGCUUGGAAUUGCGACCUCGGCACCUGUCGGUGGACGUCGCCAAAUUCUGGAAGUCUCCGCGCAUCGCGUCUUCGAACGCGUGAAGAAAUUGGUCUCUCUCAAAGGCAAUCGGAGGGAGAAUAAGAAGAGAAGCGAAGAGAGAGAGAGAGGAAGAGGAAAAGGGGGCGAAGAGCAUCGCGAUUUUGGGCGUGGGAUGUAAAGGAAUCGCUCGUCCAUCUCCGAUCGAAACCCUAAACGCAAGGAACGAAUCUUCUCGUCUGGAAAGAAGAAGAAGAAGAGGGAACGUAGGAGGAGAUUUGAUAGGUUGAUCACAGGGAAACGAAGGGAAAAAGGGAGGAACAGAUCAGGGUUUCAUACGCGGAGGAGGAAGAGGAGGAGAGGAUCUUUCUUCUCUCUCUCUCUCUCUCUCUCUCUCUCUUUCCUGUUUCGGACUCAGGUAUUUGAAAGCCUAGCUCUUGAUUUCUCUAUGUUUUUAGGUAGUUUUAGCGCUCGAUCUGCGGGGGUAUACACAACGGAAAAGGGCUGGGUUCUUGGCUCCGAUCGCCGUGGAUUCUCGUCGGGUCCGAUGUCGGAUUUGGUUUUUCUUUGGCCGCCGUAGCUCGUCGAUUUGGAUGUUUGAUUGUUGGAAACUACGGAAGUUAGAUAAACAUGUUAGGUUUGGUUCUUGAUCUCCAGAUCCAUUGUGGUUGGAAGAUCUACAAGAAGAAGAUGGUGGGUUUCUUAAGGAAAAGGCGAAGAAGAUUGUGUCUGAGCUUGACUUAGGGUUCAGAGCUGGGCUUUCACUCUAGAUCUCUUGUCAGAUCUUAUAUCCGGAGGAUAAAGCAGCUAGCGGUUGUUGAUUUUUAGGGCUUGGAUCUGCUUCUUUUUCGCAUCUUUGUCCACAACAUUGAACAGCUUGCUUGGAUCCUGCGAUUUUCCCCUCAAACGGCCAAGGAGAGUAGCAAUCUUGCUUCUUCUCAGGGGCUUCUAUUUUGUCGUGUAGACUUAGGCUUCUGCAGGUGUAGUGAUGUCUCCUGAUUGGUGAUUCAUGACACCCAUGCCAACCUUCUGCGACGAAUCAAGCGAAUCCUCCAAACAUCUUUUCUUCUCUUACCCAUGCUGAAACUCUCACCAAUGAUCUUUGAAAGCUUUCUAGUUUCUUGACUGUCUCUUUGUGCAUUUGGAGUUUUUGCCUUUUCUUGUCCUUCCCGGGCUCCAGGCUUCUUGACCUGUGGAUUUAGUUUUGAUUUCCAAGCUGGAGGGAUGUUUGUAUUGUGGAUCCGUAGAAUUUCUUGGUGCUUCCAGGUUUUUGAAGAAAGAACUUGUGGUGGCCCUUAGAUUGGGAUUCUUUGGAAAUUUCGGUUCAUUUUAGCAUUUACAAAUUGGCGAGUGGUUAUUAGAUCUGAUAUUACAUGGUAAAGAGGAAGCCUUGGAAACUUCAACGCGACAUUUUGGUUUCAUGUGAUCUUUUCCCUCUUUGGGAUGCAGUUUGGCGGACUUCAGUUUUUAUGGAGAGUGGAUGUUUAUGUGUUCUCUCACGGGGAUUGCCUGGCCUAUCAAGCAAGAGGACCCUUCCCACUUUUUGUUGUGGACAUUGUUCCGUGCUUGAUAUUUGGACUAGUGCUAGAUAUUGUAGUUCUGGCGCUACUUGACGAUUUGCUCUUUUACUUGAAUCUGAACCAGAAGAUGUGGUGCGCGAAUCCCUUCAAAGGAUGGUUUACAUGAUCUACCUCAAGAUAAUGGCCCUCUAGUGGCUUAUGCAGGCAGUCUGUUAUCAGCCCCUUGAUCACUAGUGUUAAGAAUAGUACUUAAAUUUAAUUAAGAAAUAAGCAAAUUGUUUAGUUACUUAUCACGGUUGGAUUGAAAGUUAUGCUGAUGCCUAUGGAUGUGCUGAUCAUUACCUUGUUCUUUUGCAGAGACCAGCUUUUGUUGUUUUGGAUCAAAAGACAGUUGAUACAUUCUGGUCUUCAAUAACCACUGCUGCAAAAGAAAAUGAGGAUUCUGAAUCAAUGGUUGGUUUUGUCUCUUUCCAUCAUAGUCUAGUAUGAUAGAUUGCAAUUGUAUUACAUGGUUAUUACAAGAAUUCCUGGCUGACCAUCUCUUGUGCAAUUUUCUCCGUGUACAACAAAUCUUCUUGUUUCAAUAAAUUCUUAGUAUUACGUGCAAGCAUUUGCUUUUGAUACUAUUGAUGGCUUGUUGCUUGUUAAACAUGCGGUGAUGUCUAAAAUGACUCUGAAAUCUUGAUUCUCAGAUACGAUUGUGCACUUGCACUGGAGGUUCUGCCUCUCUCCUUGAAGGUUCUGGCCAUCAGGAAGGUUCGAAGACCUGCAAAAGUUGCAAUGGCAAAUUAGUAGUUGAUGGGCGAGGAACCCUCUCAAGAAACAUGCUGAGCACUGUGAGUUUGGAGCUUUCAAGAGAUUCUUGCUUGAACUGGAAAACUGUCAUUAAAGGCAGGCAGAGGGCCAUAAGACGAGCUAGAACUUCUUUUACCUGUGAGAACAAAAGGAAGCCUGCAACAAGAACUUAUAAGGGGAGUGAAAAUGCCACCAAUGAAGAAUCAAAUAUAACAGGCGAUCUUCCAAUCUCUGAAUCUGAGAAGGUUUUGCUUUUUCGCUUUCUUAUUUUUCUUUUUCUUUUUUCUGUUGUGUACAAAUCUUUCUAACUAGUGGGAAUAACUAAUAACUGUCCUUCUUUACUUCAGCUUGGUGUGACUAUUCUUGGAAGGCGCUUCGGUGAGGCCUUAGGAAGUGUUCCCAUAAAGAAAAGGAGAUUACUGUUAGUUCGUUCGCCAUCACCUCCACCCCAUUCUUCUGACUCAAAUGAAUCUGAUCAGAUGGUACGAAGCCAGUCUGCCUCUUAUGCAGAGAGUGUAUCAUAUUGGAAAGAUCACCAUGACAGAACAAUUGCUAAUGAGGGCACCAGUCUGAGAGACAAAAGUGAACAGUGUUGUGAUGCUGCAGAUUUUUCUGGUAUUGUGGCACUGGCUGAUGCUGCUUGCCAAGCUGGUAUUGUGGGUGACAUCAUGAAUACUGAAUUUGAGCAUUCUGGAAAAGAAGAAAAGGGUUUGGAAAUUUUGCAGAGUGCAGAAUCAAGUUCAAUUUCUGACAUAAAAAAGCAGCAGCGAUUGGGUAUUUCUGAAGGUUUACUCUGUAAAUCUGAAAUGCCUCAGGAGAUAACUUUUACCUCUGUGCUUCAUACUGAGGGACCAGGUAGAAGUGAAUUGGGUGCAUCAAACAGUCCAAAUAACUUCAUGGGUUCCACAGAGAAAAUACCAGAGAAACCAAGCAAGGUGGAGUCUUCAUCUCGGGAUUCUAAAUUUCCCUGGGAUCUUAACACUACAAUGGGUGAAUGGGAUAGCAGUGAUGAAGAAGACAUUGGGAAUCAUAAAGAUGCUGCUGAUGUUGUGGAUGAAAAUAGUUGUCAGGAUGAAAAGAUAGAAAAGUUAGGAAUUUGUGAAGAUCCAGUAAAAUAUGAAGACACUAAGGACACUCCAGAAUCUUUUGAUCGCAGAAUACGGCUGGUCGGGAUACAAAAGGAAAGUUUCGUCUUAGUUGAUAACAAGGCCAAAGAUGAAGGUGAUGUUCUCAAUGAGAAUUUACUUGCAGAUUAUACUAGAAUAAAGGAAGGCUCUUUGCCUCAGUCUGUCAAGGUUUCUGCCCAAGGGGAGCUCCAGUUGGAAUGUCCUUCAGCUGCCAAAGACUCCACAGGAGGAGCCAAGCUUCUUCCUAAUCAGCUGGAUAGCUGUUAUACUUGGGAAAAUGAAUCUGACUCAGCUGGAGGUAAUCUAGGCCCUAACACUGAAUCUUGUUCAGCUACUCGCACAAUGCAGAAUAUGGUAGGUGAAGCAAACAUGGGUUUGAUGUUAAAGAAAGAAUCUUCUCCUUCUUAUCUGGUAUCUAGAGAGAAGUUAAAUUGCAGCUAUUCUGGUGAUGCCAGUGAAUUCGAUUACAGCAUGGCUCAGCUAACUAAUAGACCAAUUUCUGAAGAAAACACAAAUGCAGCUGUUGCAGUUGUUUGUAAUGAAAAUACCAUAGAUUGCACCAUGUUUGAUGUCCAAAGAGGACUACUUACUCAACAACGCAAUUCUGACAUUGAGAAGCUUGAGCUUUUCAGUGCUAAAUUUGAUCUUUGUCCCUCUGUUAGUCUUCUGGCUGAGAAUGCUUCUGAUGCUCCUGUUGAUGGAAAUAUUGGCACCCAUGUGACAGCUGCCGUUGGCUCUAGUGAACCAGUAAAGUCUAAUGGCAUGUGUGAUACUCAGAGUGCUUGUGCUGAUAAAUCCAGCGAAACUGAUACUAUGCAGGCACCUAGUAAUCAUGAUGAGCUAUCUUUUGGGAAUGUAAAUGGUAGCAAACAUAGAACAGUUGAUGAAGAUGAUAAGACGGAUGAUAACAAAUGCUCUACGAGGAGUGAUGUCAAAGAAAGUUAUGACAAAAAUGAACUUUAUGACAAAAAUGAACUUUGUGUUAAUGCUGUCUCAAAGGAUCCUAUAGAAAGCACAACAGCUGCUAGUAAUGCAGAUGAUGUGAAAAGAUUCGGUGAUAAUUUCACUUGUGGCCGUGAUUCUAAUGAUUCUCGAGUUGACAAGGAUCAGGCUGUUGGGCUGGAAAAGGUUGACCUUGGUGAUGAGGAAUAUCAGUAUGAAGAUGGAGAGCUAAGAGAAUCGUUUCCUAAUAACUGGGGAGAAGAUGGUGAGGAGUUGGAGACUGAACGUAUAGAUUACGGAUCAGAUAACAGGGACAAUGAUAUCUUUGAAGUUGCAUCUGAUAUUCCUGUUUCUGUUUCUUUACCUGUUGAUGCUAUGCCGCAAGAAAAUGGGGGUUUGUCAGUUAUAAGUACUGACAGAGUGCACGAUGGGUUCAAGGAUUCAUUAGAAGCUGUUUCAGGGAAGAGUUCAUCAGCAGCCAAUUCUUUAGAUGUUGGACUCCGAAAAGGAAGUGUUGAGAGAGUCGGUAAAACUGUUCAGACAGGUCAUUUGAGGGAGAAUCAUGAGACAAGAAAGCAGGAGAGGGAUCUUAGUGUAUCAGAAUCAGGUGCUGAGAAUAAUGGGGUUUGCCUUGAAGGUGAUGGUGCCAAAGAGUUUCAAGCAAGUUCGAGGAUGAAGUCGUCUGGAUGGGAUCAGUUGCCAGGUCACAGUACCAAGCAUGGGUUGAAGGAUGUGGAACUUGACCAUAUCAACGAAAAUGAGGCUACUACUUUGGAUGCAUUAGGGAUUGGUGACUCCUUUAGACAGACGGGUUCAUCGUCGAGGAGAGACAUGUCAUCGCGAAAAGAGAGGCCAAGGUCCUCUGAUAUGCCACAGAGCAAUGAAAAAUCUCAUGUUAGAGCAAGCAGGUUAGUCCAGUUAAUCUGUAUAAAUUCACAUAUAUUCCUCUGCAAUGAUAUCUAUUAACUUAUAUUCCUGGUCAAAAUCUGAUUUCUAUUUGCCUCUCAAAAAUUUACUUUCUUACGUAUACACCUUCACACCCUUACACCCUUAUGCUUACAAAAAAGUCUCUUUGGAAAACAAUUUCUAAUAUUUUCUAAUGGAAGCUAGUUUUAUGAGGAAACCAACAUCUUCCCAUGAAUUAGCUAAUUCCCAACUUAAGACGAGAGCUUUUAAAGAAACUGCACUUUCUGGUUCCUUUUUGUUGUGGGUUUGGGGGGUUAUGUAUAGAAAUUCUGAUUUUUCAGUAGUUAGAUGUAAUCGAUGAGACAAUGACUUUGUAGAUAGAGUACGUCUCCAGUACUUUCGAAAGUAUGGAUGCCUUCGUGCUUAUAAGUUGUUUUUGAUGAUAGGACAUCCGAUUUGACGAGCGGCACCGUUAGGCAUAAUCUAUGCUAUUGGAGCUAUCUAGAAACCAAAUUUCAUAAUUUUUCGACAUCAUUUACCAAAGUGACUAUUUUAACGGUCGAUGUGGCACGUUUUUAAGUUCAACGUUGUAGAACAAUCCAAAUUACAUGAAACUUUAAUUGAAAAUUCUACUUAACAUCAAUAGCAAGAUCGAAAUUUGAGUCUUUUAUCAUUAUUUUUUAUGAGAUUUUUAUUUUCAACCGCUCAUUUUGAGGCUACUUGUUAACUAGACAAAUGAAGUCACAAAAUUAUGAAAUUUGGUUUCUAGAUAGUUCCAGUAAUGUAGAUCAUAUCUAACGGAACCGAUCGCCGAAUCGGAUGUUCCAUCAUCGAAAACAACUUACAAGCAUGGAGGCCUCCGUACUUUCGAAAGUAUAGGAGCCUAGCUCUUUUGUGUGUGUGUGUGUGUGUGUGUGUGUAUUAAAACAGCUAUUUCCUCCCUUACUUUUUAAUAUGUGAAGUUCUUAAGUUACCUCUAUAGUCUGAUAGUUAUGCAUUUUACUGUGUUGCAUAUCUAGGUCUGAUGACCGCAACAGCUUGAGUUUGAAAGCUGAAGCAGAAAUGGGUGCCGCUAGAUCGAUUGGAAGGGGUCGACUACCUUGGCAUACUCAGGGAAGGGGUGGAGAUGAAUUGCCUCCAAACCGUUCUCGUCCCACUCAUCGCAGAUCCCCUGGCUUCUAUGGUCCACCACCCAGUUUUGCUACCCUUGGUUCGAGGAAUGCAGCUGCAGCAGCUGUUGCAAAAGUAGAAAGCAAUGGUUUUGUCGUCGCACCUGAUGGUACAAUAGUCAAAGCUGCUGGUUCAGGGACGGCUGGUCGGGCACCCAAAAGAUCUUCUCAUUCUUCUGUGUAUAGAAGGGGAUCUCCUACUGAGAGAGAUGGUGUAGGUGGCAUGCCUAGAGGUUUACGAAGUGUAAGAGAGAUGAGCCCAGAUAGGCAGUUUGGUGUUGGUCGAGAUCGGCCUGAUCGAUAUGGUCCAGAGAUAAUCAGGGGCAGAUGUCGCAGGGCCAUUCGUGACGAGGGCAUGGAGGCUUCGCUAUCUGUUCACCGCCGUUCACUCUCCAGGCAGAAAAUUUUCUCCCCGCAUAAAGGUCCUCUUCAUCUCUCCCGGUCUCGAACCAGAUCAAGAUCAAGAUCACGAACACGCUCCCCUGGUUUGUGGGCAUUACGAGAUCAAAAAACUGCUGCACCUAAUUUUGAGCCAGAUGUGAAGUUGGAAAGAAUGAGGCCCUCACUUGGACUAUCCAAGUUUGAUGACCAUAUUGCAGGAUAUAGUCUACCCAAUGCUUCGAUGUGGGUUGACAAAAGGGGCAGCUCACCGGAUCAUCUUCGAGAGGAUGAUUACAAGCGGUAUUCAAGCAGAAGCCCACCAGUGCGUUAUUUCUCGAGGAGUGACCGGUUGCACCCUACAAAUUUCCCAGUAGACCUGGAGCAUGAUGAUUACCGCAGGCCAAUGCAUUCUAGCAGGUUUCAAGGAUGUGUUGGUUUUGGUAAGGGAAAUAGGCAUGACGAAAGUGGAAAUGAUAGGAGGGAGCAUGGAAGCCGAUAUGAUGUGCUUCAUUCUGGCGGACAUAUGAAGCGGUUUCGUGAUGUUGUUGGAGAUGGUUUUAGGGUUCACAACCAAAGAAGAGGCAGUUCAAGGGGCUACGAGAGGGCCAUGGAUAGCCAACUUGGAGAUUCCCCUCGUAGAGCUGAGGAGGAGAGAGGGAAUUUCAGAUAUGGUAGAAGUGGAAACCAUUAUGCCAGCUGUGAUGAUGACAUAACAUUAAGGAGAAGGCCCUCAUAAGUGCGGUGUCUUUUGUAUCAUCUGCUACUCGUGUUCAAGUGAAAGGAAUGCUGAGCCAAUGAUCUUUUUUACCUUUUUAAAGUGGGAAAAGAAAUUAGCUUUGCAAUCUUCUGCAUUUCUAACGCUUGUAGAAAUUUAUAUUUUGCAGUAGAAUUUGAAAAUUUUUGUUUCCAGCUUGCAGCUUAUCUUUUAUAUUUGUUCCCAAUAUUUUGUUUGUAUCUUUAUUUGGGCAAAUUUUGAAUGGAAUGUAGUCUUCAGAUGAGGCUAAUUGAAAUAUGAUCAAUCAAUGAAAUUUCAGCCUAUGUUUUAAAGACAUAUUUCGUCUUUCUCCUCUUGGCAGAGAUUUGGUUCUCAUUUUUGUCUUAUAGACAUUAGCAUUAUGCUUUUUACAGAUCAUCUCUUGUUUUGUUUGGAGAAUUUUUCAUUGAUGAGUUCAAUGUUAGCAGAUUGAUCACAUAUCUAUAGAAGGGGUAGGUCCGCUUUCGGGUGCAUGUUUGUUGUCUUUUGUCUUACUAAUUUUGUACUAUGAAUGUAACUACUAGAGAUCUUCUCAUUUCAGGAAAAUAUUCCAAUACUAAUCUGUUGAAUUUUGAUUCUGUGCAAGUUGGAAGUUGCCAAAGGUACCAUAUCUUGCCUAAGGUUCCACAUCUUGCCAAAGGUACUCUUUUUAUCUCUGUUAUUUAAUAUUUAUAUUCUGUCACAGGAGUAUAAUGAAAUUAUUCUGAAGAUAUUUUAUGUUAAUGAGGUACUAUAGUGCGCAUUUGUUGUCCUACAAAGGAAUGCCACUGCUCAUGAUUCUGUCUCAAGUUAUGUAUUCACUUCGCUUGCCAGUUACAUCCUUCCAGGAUUGGAAUUGGUUCUCAGUAAAUAGUUUAGUUUUAGAUAAAGAUAGAACUGAAGGAGAAAACAUUGUAGUCUUUAUUAAAUUUGUCGCUAUAAAGGAUCUGGUGAAGGUGAGAUUCAGACUAAUAUAAGGGUAUUUUUAGGAUCUAGAAAAAAUUCAUGUGGCGAAAUAUUAGAGAAAUCUUCACUCUUUUACCCCUUUAUAUUAAAUAAAUGGUUGCUUGGCGAUGACAUAUCAGUAAAUAUUAUAAAACAGUAUAUAACUUGGGCGUAAAUCUGACAACUUUGAUGAAGAUAGGUAGGUACCCUCCGCAGAGCUUCUGAACAGAGUUUCUGCUCAAGUUGAUAAGUUGUUUGUGUGUUUUCACUGUAAAUCUUUUCUAAAACCUUUGCGCAGAUAAUGUGAUGAUAUUGUGAACUUUCUUUCUUUUUGAGGGGUUCUUUCUUUUCCGGUUCUUUUGUCUUUAUUUUUGACUGGGAUAAGGGUUGGGGUUUUUGAAUGGUAAGGUUGAUUAACAGAAGGUUCUAUUGUUAUAAUAUUCAGGCGGAUCAUACAUUAUGUUUUUUUUUUUUCCAGAAUUUGUUCCAUUGCAGGGGAAAAGUUGACAUCUUUAAUAUUGAAGCUGACUUCUUUUCUACUGGUCCUGCUAGGGCUGCUUGUUAGCUAUUGAAGAUUUAGGCCUUCUCGGUGGCUUGAUCACUUUUGAGAUGCUAAUGAUUUGUAUAUUGAGAUUGGAUUUAUGAUUCCUAUUGCUGCUGUGAUCUGCUAAAUUCUGUUGCAGAUUGCUGGUCAGGAUUGCUAGAAUCUAAAAUAUUUUGGUUGCACUUAUUUGUGGCAAAAGUUGGCAAUGCAGGAUUCAGGUCAUUUCAUUUUCUCAGAGAUUUUUCAUUUGGAUCCUCCAUGCAUUUUACUGAGAUGGUCUCUUGGACUUGCAUAUUUGCUCUCGAAACAAGAAAAUUUUGAUGGGUAAUGUCUUGCCAACUCGUUUCCCAUCAUUCUAUUUGAGAUGUUUUUACUUUAUAUUUCUUGUGUGGUUCAAGAAUGUAACUGAAAAAUAUUUAUCGGCCGUUCAGUUUACAGAUUUUUUUUCCUCAUUAUGAAUAAGAUAAUAAUUUCCUGUGUAUGUGAGAUCAACAAUCUGUCUAUUGAAACCAGGCAAAAUGUGGAAUGCAUGUGGUGACAUGUUUGACCAUUUCUUCCUGAUUUGUUUUUUUUCCCUUCUUGUUUGUUCGCAUCGGGACUUCAUCUUCCUAGAUUUAUUUAUGUACCAAGCCUCAAAAGGCACUUUUAAAGGCCUUCAUUGUUGACUUAUCAACUGUUUAUCGACUUCUAUUUGUUACAUUUUAUGCUUUUGCAACUUAUCUUUCUUUGGUUUUACCUUAAUGUUGGAACCUGAAUCAGGAAAAAAAAAAAUGGUGGCUUAUGUUAUCUCUCAGAGGGAAUGAAUAGUAAGCGGCUGAUCGGGUUUGGCUCAGUUUUGAUUUUGAAUAGUCAGGUUCAUCAUUCUGCAAUCAGAUAUCAUUUUAGAGUACCGCCGUUUGAAUGCGUUUCGAAGUUUCCCAGGUGCGCAAAGCUUUGCUCUUAAAGUUAUAAUUAGAAGAAUGUACAUUGAUUUUCAUUAUUACUGUAGGAACUAAUUGGGGACAUGAGUAAAACAGCAUUUCGCGCAUGCCUAACUGUUUAAGUUCUCAACUACAGCAACUUCUAUCUGAAGAGUGAACUUUGGUGGCCCAGGUCUUAAAUAGCUAACGUGGUCUUUAAAUAGCCAACGUUAGUAGUUGCACCGCAAAACACCAACUAUCACAUCCUAUGCACGUACGAUAGUCCAUGAAGAUUAUUAUACACAUUUAUGGUUUCAACUAUAGGGAUUCUGCCACAGGGUCCCUGGGAAUGGAGCUCUUUCAACAUGGCGGCAGUUAAGCUGCUACAUUUUGCCCAAUUCACUGUUAAAACUUAGCAAAUUCCAUAGAUUUAAUUCACAAAUCAUCAACUCCGGAUCGAAUAAUUAGACGAAGAAAAAUACUAGUAAAAGAAAAGAUGUUCACUGAUCAGUGGUAAAAUAACUAAUCAACAGCAGGGGGGAAUAAGAAAAAAAUACCAAAAAAGAAAAGAUAUAGUAGGAAGAGGAAAUCUACAUAUCCAAUUCGUAGUCUCUUCUGUCCUUUCUCCUUGCCUCUGAUCAAGGUCUCAGGAGAGACCACUCGCCAGGAAUCAGAGAUCUCGGAUGAAAUCAGUUCCACAUUCCACCUCGAAUCCAUUCGGGCAUAGUUAAACAAACCUCGUCUGAACCCAAAUCAAUUCAACCCAACCAAAUGAAUCAAAGCAUCUUCAUUUUUUUUUUUUCUUUUUUGACUUUUCCUUCAAUCCGGGUCUUUGUUUCCAAUCCCAAACCAGAAGCAGCAGCCCUUUGAAACGCCAUGCCAUGCCAUGCCGUGCCAUGCACCACCAGUCAGAUCCCAAACUUUAAAAUCCAACUAUAUAUACAAGAACUCCCAACCUCUACCUCUCUAAUUGCAAGCCCACCCCAGCUGUUUUCGAUUCAGAAAAUUAGUACCCACCGCCGAGUAACUGGUGGGGAAGGAGCAGCGCCGGGCUGGGCAAGGAGAAGGCGUAGUCGUAGUCGGCGGCGUCUGGGGCGGGGGCGGGGGCGUCGGCGGGGAGGAGGGGGGCGCGGCAGAGGGGGCAGGUGCGCUGGUCGUGGGCCAUCCAACGGUCGAGGCAGCCGCGGUGGAAGACGUGGCGGCAGUUGGCGAGGCGGCGGACCUCGGCGGCGCCGUCGAGGUCGUGGAGGCACACGGCGCAGCUCUCCCCGCCCCCGCGCGGGUGGGGGAGGGGCCGGAGCUCGUCGUAGCGCACCACGGGGAGCACGUCGUCCACGGCCGGGGCCGGGCGGGGCUGCGGCGCCGCGUGCGCGUCGGGUGCCCACGGCGCGUCCGGGUCGAGCAGGUCGCCCAGGCCCACCGCCCCGAACGCCCACGAGAGCACGCGCCGGAGCAGGCCCAGGAACAGGAUCAGCUGCAGCAGCAGCUUCGGGAGCAGCAGCUCCGAGUACCCCACCGGAAACCCCAUCUCACCACCGGAGAACCACCCCCCCCUCCCCCAAAUUAUAACAACAAAAACAACAACAACAACCCUCCUCGGUACAAAAAAAAACUACUCCUUUAAUUUCCUGAUCUCCCCUUCCUCUCAAAUGCUCUGCUUUCUCUUCCUUUUUAGCUCUCUCUCUCUCUCUCUCGAACACUUUUUGAGGCUGGGAUGGUAGGAGCAAGAACCCUUUCUUUAAUAAAGGGGGUGGAGGACGAGCAGUGUAGGAUUUGUUGUGCGAAAUGGAAGUUCGUCAUUGGGCGCAAAUUCACCGCGGUUUGGUGUCCAGAAAAUUUCAAAAUUUCUGUGCACCAAAAUGUAAACUUCUUUUUUUUUUUUUUUUUUUCCGGCAGUUCGAGAGUCUACCUCCUCCACUAAAUCUGACUUUUAGAUAUCCACCGUCACAUCACUUUUUUAUUUACAUGAGAGGUCUAAUGAGCAUCUGAAUCGACAGAUAUGUUAAAAGCUAGUUUUAUUAGAAAUAUACAUACCCUAGAAUAUAUUCUUGUGAGUUAAUUUUAUCUACUCGACGGUUAAUUAAUGAGUUUUAAUAAUUUCUAUGGAGCGUAUAAAGUCAAUCUAUUCGAAUAUUUGUGGUACCGUGAGAAAUUGUGAGUAAGCUGUAAAAAAUUAAUUUGUUAAACGGAGAAAAAGAUGGUCAUCGGAAGGUGCGCUUUGCCCACGAAACUCCACAGGUAUUUGAUGGGUCAUGCUUUGUGGAGUCAUCAUCUAAAGUUGGGGCAACCACUCAUGGAUUCUUUUCUUCUUUGCACGAUAUAGCUUUGCGCCCCCUUUGUCUCAUUCUUCGCGCAAGUGGGUCACAACAGCUUCUACGUUUUAGUAGGUCGGCUUGAAUCUGGGUUUACCCCGAUUCAAACCCUAAUUGGGCAUGUCAAAUGUAUUAUACUUCAACAACUUUUGAGUAUUCUACAGUUCAAACCGACUCUUCAUACUAAGUACAGAUAUUUGUAACAUAAUUAUGACAUCACAUACGUUUGAUAAAAUAUUGACCUGGAACGAGCCCUAAGCCAUUUUCUCUAGUUAAAUAUCUAUGAUUCCUUAAAAUAGGACAUAAAAACUAUUCCCAAACAUGGGAGCAAAUCUUAGGACACAGUUCCUGAGUCCCCCCUAAAUAAUUUUGCUCCAGCUUUCGCCCCUUUAUAAAAAGCCAUCCCUAACAGCUAAGCACUUGCAUAGAUCCCCAAUGAAUAUAUUAUCCUUACAUCCUAAACUGCUUUUGGGACCUUUCUUAUAGGUUAACUUUACGAGGAACACAUAAUAAUACCGCAACAAACACUUCUAAGCCUAACUAAACGGACGGAUUCGUUCUUAUCUGGAAUCUGCAAUAUCUCCCAUUCUAACCAUGAUUUAGCUGAAGCCGCUACAUAUGUAUAAGUGAUGCAUGACGUGCAUUCUUAUAUAUAUAUUAUUAAGAUAAGACGAUGUUGCUUAUCUCAUUCGGUUGAUCCAUGUGACUAAACCAGCUUUUCAUCUUACCAUAAUAGUCUAUUUACGGUAAAAUGGCAAUUAAUUCUUGUUUUCUGCUGCUUCUGAUGCUUGGUUUGUCUUGUUCUUUGCAUGUUAGAGAGAGAGAGAGAGAGAGAGAGAGAGAGAGAGAUGAUAAAAUCAACUUAGAUUAAUGUUUUAAUGUGCUUUGAAUUGGUUAAGUUAAAUAUUCAUGUGAGUGUGAUGAAGCCAGCUGUAAUCUCACGAACCGGAAUAGUUUCUCAUCUUUUUUGGGACAUGUCCAUAGACUUUCCGUACUAACACUGCAGAGAAAUCACAUGAAGGAAUUCUUUUGCCGCUUUUUAACCUUUUUAUUUCCCCCCGGAAUAGGUAGUAUAUAUAUAUAUAUAUAUAUAUAUAUAUAUGUGUGUGUGUGUGUGUGUGUGUGUGUGUGUGUGUGUAUGUGUGAUUUAAUUGGAUUUGGAGCACAAAAGCAGCGGCCAUAAGGAGCCCAGAUAAUAGCUGGCUCUGGCUCUCGCCAUAAGCGAGUCCACUGCAAUAGUGAGAGGAGUACACGGAAAUUAUUGCCUGCACUUGGUCCACUUUUUGUAAAGAGAACAUCGGAUAUAUUCUGCGCCUCCAAUUAAUAAGUAGUAAAAGUUCCCAGCGUUUUAGAACUCAACGCUCUCUGUUCAGAUGCAUAUAUACAAUGGACCCCUUCGGCUUCUUAAAAAGUUUUUUUUUUUUUUUUUUUUUUUUUGUAGAAUUGAUUUUCGUUUGAAAAAAUAAUUUGUUAAUGGUUAUAGUGCGUUUAGCUGAAUUUAAAUAUAAAAGUGAUUUUUCAGAAGUGAUUUUGUAAAGUUGUUUGGCAAAAUUUUUAUGAUUUUUGCAUAUAAUAAUAUUUUUACUAAAUUUUAUUUUAAAAUUUAAAUUUGUAAAGAAUUUAAAAUUCGAUGUUUUAAUUUUAAAAAUAAAAUUUCAAAUUUUAAAUUUUAUCUUAAAUUUAAAAUUUAAAAUUUUAAUAUCUAAAUUUUAAAUUUUAAAUUUUAAAAGUUGAAAUUAAAAAAAUCAAAAAUGAAUUUAAAAAUUUAAAUUUAAACUUUGAAUCAAAAAUUAAAGUAAAAAUUUAAAGUUUGAGUUCAAAAUCAGAAUAUGAUUUUAAGAGGAAAGAUUUUAGUUGCUUCUGAUUUUAGGUGAUCUAAAAAAUCAGAAAACCGAUUCUAAAAAUUAGAAUUAAAAUUUGAAAACUAAAUUGUCAAAUACUCUAUUGAGCGAAAAAUUACUUUUGAACUCAGAAUUACUUUUGGACACCUAAGCCAAACAUCUUGUUUGGUAUGGUAUAGAGUUUGAACUCUCUUAUUAAAGAGUAAGGACUACAGGUAGAUAGAUGUAAUUAAGAACUUCAUGAACAGGGCAAAACUAGUAUUUUCACUCUUAUGAAGCACGGUUUAAGAUCUCGAUUUACAAAUUAAAUCGAUCAAUCACCUUCUAAGAUGGAAAAAGAUGUGUCAGGGCAAAUGUGACUAGACAUGGGUCUGUUGGCGGCUCAUGAAAUUAAAUGCGAAAACGAAUGUGCUCCCUGUUGCAGUAGCAGCUGCGCCGGUGCAUGUCGAUUCCUGGUGUUUGCUAAUCGGCAUAUAUCAGUGAUUUAGAUUUGAUAGGAGAAAGAAAGAAACCUACCAAAAUUACGUAGGGCCCAGAUGGAGAGCGAUUCUUCUAACUGGAGGUGAAUAACGCAGUGUCCUCAUAUCAAUUAUACAUCCACUUUGUUUCUAUUAGAAAUUGCAGGCAUAGUGUGCAUCACAUGUGAUGAAUAAGAACGAUAGAAAAAAUAUUCUCUUUGUUUCUGAGAGUGAUAGCGCAAAACACAACCAAUUCCAUUGAAAUAUGAUUUUUUUUUUUUUCUCGACUAAUUGAUCAUCCGCUCCUGUUAGAUCCAGCUGAGUAGCUAAGAUUACUUUAGAGACUAUUUGAAUAUUGUAUGUAGUUGUAAUUAAAUGUAUAUUUUAAUUUGGUGUCUACAGUUUGAUACAUUUAAAUUCAACUGCCAUAGUUAUAACGGCAGCACUUUCGACUACAUCUAAUAUAUUAAACAAGAUGUCUAUAGUCAUAAAUAGUCCUGCAUUUUAAGUUGCAUGUAUAUAUUUCCAACUAUAAUAUAUUUACAAAUACAUCUAAACAAAUGGUCUCUUGCAUAUUAUGUUGUCAUUGUAAUGAUCAUUAGAUGAGUGACUAUUCUUUUUCUUCUUUUUUUCAUCUCUUAUUGUUGUUAUCCUUCCUUCGUUCCUUUGUUGGAGUCAUGUUGAGGCAGGAGUGACUAAUUGUGGUGCAUUGCCAUGAAUUAUCACUUUCAAACCUCUCGAGAAUCUCCAAAGUGCAGUACACGAUAAAGAAUAUGAAGAUAGUGUAAUUGUUGCACGAGAUACACGAGCCUUCAUAAGAUUAAAAAUGAACGGUGACAAUAUUUGGUCCUAUAAAACAAGAUCUCCUUGGGGCCCCUCAAUUAGCCUCCUCUCUCAUCUUGCCCUCCAAAUCUGUUGUCUUGUGAGGCCCAGGAAUGAUAUGUUUAGGCUACCACAAAUAUUUUGUCUACAAUGUAUAACCUGAAAAAUACAUUAUUUUGGUGACUAUCACUAUUUAAAACACUUAAUUCAUAUCCAACUACUUAAACUAGGACGGACCGUCCCUAGCGCAAGCAACUACUUGAACUAGGACAGACCGUUCCUAGCACAAGUAGCAAAGGACUUAAUGGUUAAUUAGUACCCGAGUUUCAAAUUCGAAUCCUAAUUGAUUUAUAUUUUCAGCUAAAUUUAUUUUUUUUAAAAUAAAUAAAGCGGAUAGCAUGUUAUCUUUUUCUCCCAACUAUUUGAACUAGGCAUGUUACAAUUGAAGUCACUAUUGGAGUAUUGGGUGGAAAUGAGUGUGUGCUCAAAAAACUCAAAAAGAGUCGAAGUGGCCCCACCAAAGUUUUGCCCAUAAUUGGAAGAUUAGAAGUUAAGAGGUUUUUUGUGCACAUUUAUAUAUUACUGAUAAAACCCUUUUUUUUUAGGGGGUGUUUGAACUUUGAAGAUGAUAAAGUUACAAAUUAAUAAAAAAUUAUUAUUUCUAUAUUAUUUUUCACAAUAUUAAUUUUGUACGAAGUGUUAACACCAUUAGUAGAGUUCAAUUGAAGUAAAGGAUAUUCGAAGUGAUAUUAUUGGUUUUGUUCCACUGACAUUUUACGGAGACAAAAAUCUUUUCUAAAAUUGUUACAACAUUAAUCUCCCUUAAAACUUAUUUUCGUAGUUAUUUUAUUUGUGUGGUAAUAUGAUUUGUUGAUUGGUAUGUACGUAACUCAAAUUUUAUCCUCUCAAUAGAGGAGGAUUGGAAUAGCUCAGUCCCCAUAUUAAUUUAGUCAAUAAUUUAAGAAGCGUAAGUUGUUAUUAAUAAAUUGAAAUAAGUCAAUGUUUUAAUGAUAAUUUUGAUUGUUCUAGCAUUACAGCGGAUUCUCUAAAGUGUUACUCUUACAUGCUAGUAUAGAAAAUACACAUGAUGUGGGAAGUAGUAAUUAAAUAAAUUUAAGGAUAAACUUCAAAUACCACUCGUGUGGUUUUGUAUUUUCUCACUUUAAUACCAUAUGGUUUAAAAUGUAUCAAGUUAGUAUCAUGUCGUUAAACUAUACGCAAAAAACUUCAAAUAUCCCACUUAGGUUUAUUGAUAUUCACUUUAGUACUUUUUAGUUUUAACUUUGUCACUGAUUUAACGAAGAAAAAUUAGUGAAAUGGAUAAUAAAAAGAGAAGAAUGAAACCACAGGAUACUAAUUCGUUACACUUUAAACCACAGAAUACUAAAAUGAAAAAGUGUGAAAUCGCAUGAAUAAUAUUUGAAAUUUUUUUUAAAUUUAAAAACACAUCAACAGAUCAGAAGAAAAGUCCGUCUCGAGGGGCGUCCAAAUCAUCAUCGAUUUCGCAUUCAAUUCUCACCACCUGUGGACGGAGGAAUACUACACGGUCGCACUUGCACCACGUCAUUAAUAAUAAGCCAAUCAUACAUCUACUUUUCAAACAAAAAUAUAAUAAAAAUAUUUUUUUACAAUCAUGAUGAAAUAUAUAUUUAUAAAAAAAAAUAUUUAAUUAAUUUAUUACGCCACGU